GAUGAAGAACGCAGCGAAAUGCGAUAAGUAAUGUGAAUUGCAGAAUUCAGUGAAUCAUCGAAUCUUUGAACGCACAUUGCGCCCGCCAGUAUUCUGGCGGGCAUGCCUGUUCGAGCGUCAUUUCAACCCUCAGGCCCCGCCUGGCGUUGGGGAUCGGCGCGGCCCUCUCCGGGCUGCCGGCCCCGAAAACUAGUGGCGGUCUCGCUGUAGUCCUCCUCUGCGCAGUAGCAACGCUCGCACUGGAACUCGGCGCGGCCACGCCGUAAAACACCCCACUUCCGAAAGUUGACCUCGGAUCAGGUAGGAAUACCCGCUGAACUUAAGCAUAUCAAUAAGCGGAGGA
rnacentral:misc_RNA from 1 species